rnacentral:lncRNA from 10 species
CCGGGAGGCAGAGCUUGCAGUGAGCUGAGAUUGCACCACUGCACUCCAACCUGGGCGACAGAGCAAGACUCCAUCUCAAAAAAAAAAAAAAACAAAACAAAACUGGUAGUUAUAAACCUACCUACUUCUUUUAAUAAGAGUCAGUAAUGGCUAAUGUUUAUUGAGUACUUUUUAUAUACCUGCACUGUUAAUAACACUGCAUAUGUAUUAAUUUAAUGCUAACAACCUCAUAAGAUAGAGACUAUUGAUCUAUAUCUAUAGUAUCAUAAGAUACUAUAGGUAGUCUCUAUCUAUAUACUAUAGGUAGUAUCUAUAUACUAUCUAUAGUAUCAUAAGAUAGAUACUAUUGUUCCCUUUUUGCAGAUGUGGAAUACAACUAGUAAUUGGUAGACGAUGGAUCUGAAUUUAACUAGUCUGGAUUCAGAACCCACACUCCUAGCCACUGUACUUUUCUGCAGCCCUUCAGUGCACUAAAAGGCAGAAAUCUAACAUAAGUAGGAUAAUUCUCCAUCCUGAGUGAUUGUUGAAAGCUUUUAAAAGCUUUGCUUAAUCACUGGAUCCCACAAAGGAAAAUGCUGAUUAAAGAACACACAGUACUUUAAAAUGCAUGUUUUUUCUAUAAGGUAGACAAAUGGGACUACAGUAAGCAUACUCAGAAAGUACUCAGAAUUAAUGUUCAUUUCUUCUGAGAAAAUACUAGAAAGCUCUGUAAACCAUUAAUUCAAUAUUCUGAGACAUGUUUAUUACUGCUUUUUAUGUUGUUGAAGUCUUAUUAGAAAUAGCCCAGGUGGUUUGAUCAUGAUACAGUGCUACUUGAAAAUAUAUCAAAGGUAAAAAUUCUCUCAACUAUACCUUGAAUGUCUUUUUCCCUGUAGACUUCUGUAGAGAAGUACAAUUGUGUUUUAAAUGUCUAUUUUGAACUUGAUGGGAUACCAUUAAUCUAUAUGUGGUUUGAUGUGUAACUUACCUGAUAUUUUUGUUUUAACUUUUUAGGUCCACUAUCCGAGCUUUGAUCAAGAAUUUUUCAAUUGCUUCUUUUUUCCCUGCUUUCAUCACACUGCUGUUUUUUCAGCAUAAUCGAACAGCUUAUGACAUUGUAGCAGGAACCAUUGUGGUAAAAAGAAAUGGGGUCAGAUGAUGCCCCCCAAAACCCUGAUUUCCACACACUAAGACUAAAUUAUGUAUCAAGGCCAUCAGUAUCCCUGGGUUACACUAAUUGAUGAUUUAGAAAUUAAAGCAGUCACUCCAGUGUGAUGCAGGUGACUACUCUGAAAGUAUUGAUUAUACUUGAAUGCCAAAGAACUUGUCCAGAAGAAAAACCUGUUAAAUUCAAGUAUUAAAAUUUUUAGAUCAAAAAGGCAAAUGAUUUUAUAAACAAUGGACAAUAUAUACUUUCUUAAGAUCUAAGGUACUUUCUUAAGAUCUAAGAAUUUGCUGAAAGCAUUUUCAGCUUUGAAAUCUCCAAAUGAAACUUUAAAAUUUAUUUUGGUUUAUCCCAAAAUAAUGGAAAAUGUCCAGUUGUGUUUUGUAAACACCUAUGUAACUCAUCUUUUAGUUUACACUUCCUGGGGAAAUUGUCUUUGGUGUUUAGAGGAGGGAAUGAGAACACAAAUUGGAUAAUCCACUGUCUCCCAUCCCAGGAGGUGGUGAGUUGGCUACAAGAGAAAGGGACAAGUGAGGCAGGCCUAGCAGUUCCCUUACCUGAAGUUUUCAAAUCCAUACUGCAGUUCCCUCUCGUAAUGAUGUAACUUUACAACUAUUCUUAAUGCUUGAACAUGUAUUUAGGGGCAAGUUUCUCAUGAUGAUGAAAAAGUAUCAAGUCAUAUUGCUAUGUUAAUUGGUUUUUUUUUUUAAAAGGUAAGUUAGUGAUUACUGUUAAUGGUGGGGGAGUAAGUUUUCACUGUAAAUUGAACUUAUAAUUUAUGUGCAAGUGUUUUCAGUGCCCUGAAUCAAACUAUAAAUGUGGGGAGAAAUCACCUCCAUCAAACAGUUGCAUAUUUACUGUAAAAGUAUUCCCAGUAUGUGUGCAGCAUGAAGAAAGUAUUAGUGCUUCUCAGUGUUCUCAGUGUAAAUUCUAUUUAUAUACAGCAUAUUCACAUACUACUUUCCUUAUAUUUUAUAUAGUUCUAUGACUGUUGAAACAUCAAGGAGUUAAAAAAAUCUUAAUAUUUCAUGAUUAACUCUAAGUACUAUUAAUUAAUAGCUUGCGAAAUAUUAGCAAUUUUCCCAUUAUGGACUAUUCUCUCUAAAGCAAGAGAGACUAGCAUUCCCAGACAUCAUUCUAGGGUCUUUAAGCUCAUUUUGGGUCUGCUAAAGUUUGGGGGGAAAUGUUACGCAAAGUGAUACUGUGUAUGUUGCCAUUUUGCUUUAUUCUUCUGUUGAAGCAAAAUUGUGGGGUUUUAUUAUGUGUGUGUGCUUUUCCUAGAUGUCCCAGUUAGCUGUGCUGAGAUAUACCUGUACUAUUUAUGGUUUAAGUUUUGAUUCUUAGGUAUUUUCUCCAGCUCUGACAUUGUUUUCCAAAGACACACUAAACUGCAUUGCACAGUUCAAAAUUUGAUUACUUAAGGGAUCAAUCUAGGUGGUGUUCUUGGUCUUAAAUUUAACAGCAAACACAGCACAUAUCUAUUAUCACUAUAUUAAUUUUCAAAGGUUUUUCUUUGACGUUUAAAACUGUGACAACAGAUAUUCACAUUUGAUUAUAGAAACUUAAUGUCUAUUAAUAAUUUUAGUACAAAAUUUCAUAAACCGUGUUUUUCAAAAUAAGUUUAUGUCAAAUCCAGCUUCCCAGAAACACUAAUAAUUAAGUACAUCAAUGUACUAAAUAAAUCAUUCAGUUGCACCCAUGGGGAAGAUUGUGUUACUGCCCUUCACAGUGAAAAAAAGAAAAAUCUUUCAUUUUUAAAAUUAGGAGAUGUUACGUAACUUGGCACUUUAGUAGUGUAUACACUAGCAUUAGUUUAUACACCACUUUUGCCGCUGGGGAAUUCAAGUUGAAAUGUCCCUCAAUCAUAUAGGUCUGGAAUACAUCUUUCAUUCAUAAUUUCUGCUCAGAUAAUUGAAUAGUUUGCCAUCGAGAUUAUUUUCAUUUAUACUAUAAAACAAAAGCAAACUAGUCCAGUUUAAUUUUUUGUACUUAGAAUAUUGCACAUUUUCUAUAUAUGAGUUAUUCAGAUUAGUAUCUAUGUAGGUUCAGUCAGAUCCAACCAUGGAUUCGAGGUAUUAUACUGUAUAACCCUACAAAAUACAUAGAAGUAUUAUUUGCCUUCAUAAUAGAACCCAAGAGUCUGUUUCAAUUUAUGAAUUCAGUAUUUGCACCGAGAUUUUGAUUCCCAAAGUUUGGAAAAAAAUGACAAAACAACGAGGGAAGAAGGAACCAGACCUUAGUGCCACAUAUUUUUCUCUUGGGGUUGUAAGGUAGUCUCCUGCUUUCCAGAACACUUUAUUAUAUUUCACUUAUAGACCUGAUUUUCUGUGUCAAAGUAUAAUUCUCAUGCUGAAGCUGUAGCCUAAAAAGCCAAAAGAAAGUUGUCUUCAUUGUACAAACAUAUUCAUCACUUUAACAAUAAGGGAACAAAAUUUAGUAUUCAAGCUGAGUGAGAAUACUGUUUCAAUGAGCAUGUCCCUAAGAUAAACCAGAAUUGGCAGUUAAUUUAGGCGUCUAGAAAAUCUCAGUUCCCACCAGUAAAAUUAUCCUGAGUAGCUAAUGCACCUUGAGAAAAAUCUGGCAUACUGAAUAAAUAACAUUAACUUGGGAGCCAAGAGCUGGGUAAGCCUUACCUUUAGACUACUCUGUGACUACAGAAAUAAAGCCAGCACUUUUGGAACUAAUAAGCCUUCACUUGUCAGUAUCAUAAAGAGUAUUGCCCAACUGAACUUUGCUCCCACUGGUUUAAUAGUUACUUAUUUCUGCCUAAGCACUCACCUUCCGAUUUUACCCAAGUAUAUAUAUAGGAUAGAAAAAAAUGCAUUAUAUUUGAGAGCUACUUCGCCCAAAUUACAAAAUGAGUGUUUUUAGAUUCAAGUGACAGUAAAAGGAUUUGUUCCCUUCAGUGACUUGAGUGUUUUAGUUAUGCAUAAGUAUUUCUAGCAAAGGAAGGGUAGAAAGGAAUUGAAAAUUAAUUUACACUAGUUGCUACUUGGGAAUAAAGGGCUUUUUGAGGGGGGUAUGGAUAUUAAAUGUUUUCGUUAUAUACUUAUCCCUAUUAAAACAGGCAGUUGUUUCUUUGAAUAUGCCUAAAUAACAGUAUUCUUAAAAUCUGACAGACAAGUAACAUGUCAAUUACUUGAUAUUCCUUGUCUCCAGUACCACAGGCCACUCUUGACAUCCCAUGUUUGCCUGGAUAAAGUUCCUCAUUUCAAACAGUAUACAUACUUCUUUGCAGUUCAUUAUAGUAAGGCUUAACCUGUAAACAGUAUCUGAUGGCCCACCUAUAAAUAAAAUUCAGCAUUCUAUUUUUAAUAAUUUGUAUGCCACCAAUUUGUAUUAUUUGUCUCAAUAAAUACUUAGUCAUCAAUGCA